UUUUGCCAGUCCUGGGGCUUGGACUGAUAGCUUUGGAGCACCGUCACCACCAGGGGUUGUGAACACCACCCAAAGUCCUGACCAUGAACAGUCUGCUUUCCAGAGAUCUAAGCAUCCAACCAAGAGAUUCCAGCACUGUGGCAAUCUUGACCCCAAUAGAAAGGGUAGAAGUCAGGAUGGUCAUUUGUCCUCACCAUAAUAAGCACAGUGUUUACCAGCUCUCAAAUAUCCUUAUAUGAUGUCCCACACUACAAAGAGCUCAGUCCUUUUCACAACAUCACUGUCUGGACCACGGACAGCCAACUUUGCUUUGGCUUGUUUCAUAUGAGCUCUGGACCAAACCAAGCAAAUUCCCUUAUAGUAAUCAGUCUAAAUGACAAGUUCCUUAUGGAAAGUUUGUUAUCAAGACUCCAUGUGGGA